rnacentral:lncRNA from 1 species
GCAAAGACCAGAUAGGUGGAUAAAGUUCUUUCUUUCUUCAAUCCUUAGAGGAAGCUCCACAGAGCCAGGGCUGAAGAAGUAACUGUGAAGCUCAGGCCCAUCAGAGGCAAAUCUCACCAGUUCCCUCCUCUCUACUUCAAACCACCGAGAGAUGCCAGGCAAGCUGUGGGUCAGGGUCAGCGUGGUGCGCUCAAUCCACAGGCUCUGUAGGAAGGGUACAGACAGGUUUAGGCAGUUGGGCAAGGCUUGGCAUUCCCUACCUACAUGAGGGAUGCAACAGUGGUGAGUUGCCAAGAAAAUGGGGCUUUCCCCUGGAUCUGCUAUAAAUACUGCCACUGCUUUCCUAGUUUGUUCACCU